AGAGUUUGAUCCUGGCUCAGGAUGAACGCUGGCGGCGUGCCUAAUACAUGCAAGUCGAACGCGAGCACUUGUGCUCGAGUGGCGAACGGGUGAGUAAUACAUAAGUAACCUGCCCUAGACAGGGGGAUAACUAUUGGAAACGAUAGCUAAGACCGCAUAGGUACGGACACUGCAUGGUGACCGUAUUAAAAGUGCCUCAAAGCACUGGUAGAGGAUGGACUUAUGGCGCAUUAGCUGGUUGGCGGGGUAACGGCCCACCAAGGCGACGAUGCGUAGCCGACCUGAGAGGGUGACCGGCCACACUGGGACUGAGACACGGCCCAGACUCCUACGGGAGGCAGCAGUAGGGAAUUUUCGGCAAUGGGGGAAACCCUGACCGAGCAACGCCGCGUGAAGGAAGAAGGUUUUCGGAUUGUAAACUUCUGUUAUAAAGGAAGAACGGCGGCUACAGGAAAUGGUAGCCGAGUGACGGUACUUUAUUAGAAAGCCACGGCUAACUACGUGCCAGCAGCCGCGGUAAUACGUAGGUGGCAAGCGUUAUCCGGAUUUAUUGGGCGUAAAGCGAGCGCAGGCGGUUUUUUAAGUCUGAUGUGAAAGCCCUCGGCUUAACCGAGGAAGUGCAUCGGAAACUGGGAAACUUGAGUGCAGAAGAGGACAGUGGAACUCCAUGUGUAGCGGUGAAAUGCGUAGAUAUAUGGAAGAACACCAGUGGCGAAGGCGGCUGUCUGGUCUGUAACUGACGCUGAGGCUCGAAAGCAUGGGUAGCGAACAGGAUUAGAUACCCUGGUAGUCCAUGCCGUAAACGAUGAGUGCUAAGUGUUGGGAGGUUUCCGCCUCUCAGUGCUGCAGCUAACGCAUUAAGCACUCCGCCUGGGGAGUACGACCGCAAGGUUGAAACUCAAAGGAAUUGACGGGGGCCCG
rnacentral:rRNA from 1 species